CACCAGCAACCAUGCAGAAUCUUAGCCAAUCACUGUAUGAAGAUGUGGUCAAAGCCGAGAACCAAUUCAACAUGGAGGGCCUCUGUGCAGCUUGGUCUCAAAAUUUGCAGCCACAGCAACAUCUGCAGGUAGCAUCAGAUUUGUAUGACAAGGAUUUGCAGAGAAUGUCCUUGUCUUUCGAGAAUAUCUAGGCAACAUGUUUCAGCAUGCAUGGAACAGAACAAUAGCAGAAAGCUGAGUUAAUGAAGCCUAGAAAACACAACAUUUCUUCACAGAUUUAUUUGCAGGCUAUGUGGAGGUGUUUGCGUAGGUACAUUCUUAUGAUGAUACAGAGAUCAACAAUGAUAACUGUUCAUCAGUUAAAGAUACUGCAGUACAUGAAAAAAAGGAGACAAAGUAUGAAUUUAUAUUACAGCAUAAUGUAUAGCCUAGAGAAAAGUAUGUCUCGAAGUUUACUUUCCUUUCACUUAAAGUUGCUGUCUUUAUCUGUACAUGCAUGCAGCUCGACUUUUUGUAUACGUGAGUCAUGGUUGAUCUUUUUCUACCAAAUAAAUGAGGCAAGGAUGUGGAACACUGCAUUUGUUGGUAGCUCUUAGGAACUAUACAAGCAAUAUUAGAUUAUUUUUUCAACUGUGACAUCUGACAUGCAUGAGACGCAAAAUUCCUGAACGCAAAAUGCCUAAGCAUGAGACGCAUAUUCAUGGGGCAGGACUAAAGCUAUAUUGACCUUAGUGCUACUUUUCACUCACCUUUUUCUUUCAUUGAUCACCUUUUGCAAAAGAGAAUCUGGAGCUAGCUGAUCACUUUCCACCUGCAUACUAAAUGGAAAAGGACUGAUUGAUUUGGUGUUGUCCAAAGAGGCAAAAUCCCCAAGGGUAAAAAACAGAUACGCAUUAAAGAAAAUGAGGAAAUUUCUCACCACAUUGCCAUACAAAGUAGAUGGAUGGACUAGGAUAAUCUCUCUUACAGGGAUGUCUUCUUAAACUAGAAGGUACGGAGGGAGAGGAAUCAGCAAGUUAUUGAGAAUAAGUAGGCAACUGUUUCCAUAGUGUUCAGUCCACUAAAUACAAAGACAACUUACAGAGAGAAGUGGGAUCUGCUAUAAUUAAUUAGGCAACUCAGGAGUUGAAUUUACACUUCUUGCUUAAAAAAAAUACAGUUUUCAGGUCUCUUACUUUCUUUUCCCUGCCUAACUCAGGUGCUGUACACUCAUAUCUACUUCUAAUUCAGAAUUGCAACUCACCUGCCUGUUUAGGCGUAUUUCUAAGUAAUUUGAUGAGACAGACAUUUACUACACAAGGGGGCUAGGCAUUUUAGUGCAGAACAUUGUCUUGCCUUUUAGUCAUUUAAAAUGCAAGCAUUCACACUAGGCAAUAGUUAAAUGAUUCAAUGAUGGGGAAAUCUUAGAAAAUCUGAUUAAGAAACAGAAAAGGAAGAUAAAACCUCAUUCAAGUUAGAAAGGGAUGGCUAAUGAUGAUGCUUUGACUGUUACAAUUGAGGGACUACCAUGUCCGACCAAGCAUAGAUCAUUCUCUAAUUUGGUUUUGCCUUCCUACUAGGCUAAGCUUGAUUGUAUAGAUCUAGGCCAAGGUUAGACCAAUACUAAAGAUGGUUUAUUUUCAACAUAUUUCAACUUUGUUCGCAACUUUCGAUCCUUGGCUUCCCACAACCAGCUUCAGAUGUUAGAGAUUUUCUUUCACAUGGUACCAAAAGAUAAGGAUUCAAUCUAUUGACGACAUAAAGUAAACUGACAUUACAGAGUUGACAAAUGCAAUGGAACUAAUAAUACCAACAAGUUUCUUUAAAAAUAAACAAGUAGGUCAACACUGGAAACUAAUUAAACCCAAUGGUUAUAAAAUGCAGCAACCAAAAUUCAAAAGCCUACACAUCUU
rnacentral:lncRNA from 1 species